rnacentral:rRNA from 1 species
AAAGGCGCGCGAUACAGGGUGACAGCCCCGUACACAAAAGCGCAUGUGCUGUGAGCUCGAUGAGUAGGGCGGGACACGUGGUAUCCUGUCUGAAUAUGGGGGGACCAUCCUCCAAGGCUAAAUACUCCUGACUGACCGAUAGUGAACCAGUACCGUGAGGGAAAGGCGAAAAGAACCCCGGCGAGGGGAGUGAAAAAGAACCUGAAACCGUGUACGUACAAGCAGUGGGAGCACCCUUUGGGGUGUGACUGCGUACCUUUUGUAUAAUGGGUCAGCGACUUAUAUUCUGUAGCAAGGUUAACCGAAUAGGGGAGCCGGAGGGAAACCGAGUCUUAAUUGGGCGUUAAGUUGCAGGGUAUAGACCCGAAACCCGGUGAUCUAGCCAUGGGCAGGUUGAAGGUUGGGUAACACUAACUGGAGGACCGAACCGACUAAUGUUGAAAAAUUAGCGGAUGACCUGUGGCUGGGGGUGAAAGGCCAAUCAAACCGGGAGAUAGCUGGUUCUCCCCGAAAGCUAUUUAGGUAGCGCCUCGUGAAUUCAUCUCCGGGGGUAGAGCACUGUUUCGGCUAGGGGGCCAUCCCGGCUUACCAACCCGAUGCAAACUGCGAAUACCGGAGAAUGUUAUCACGGGAGACACACGGCGGGUGCUAACGUCCGUCGUGAAGAGGGAAACAACCCAGACCGCCAGCUAAGGUCCCAAAGUCAUGGUUAAGUGGGAAACGAUGUGGGAAGGCCCAGACAGCCAGGAUGUUGGCUUAGAAGCAGCCAUCAUUUAAAGAAAGCGUAAUAGCUCACUGGUCGAGUCGGCCUGCGCGGAAGAUGUAACGGGGCUAAACCAUGCACCGAAGCUGCGGCAGCGACGCUGAUGCGUUGUUGGGUAGGGGAGCGUUCUGUAAGCCUGCGAAGGUGGCCUGUGAGGGUUGCUGGAGGUAUCAGAAGUGCGAAUGCUGACAUAAGUAACGAUAAAGCGGGUGAAAAGCCCGCUCGCCGGAAGACCAAGGGUUCCUGUCCAACGUUAAUCGGGGCAGGGUGAGUCGACCCCUAAGGCGAGGCCGAAAGGCGUAGUCGAUGGGAAACGGGUUAAUAUUCCCGUACUUGGUGUUACUGCGAAGGGGGGACGGAGAAGGCUAUGUUGGCCGGGCGACGGUUGUCCCGGUUUAAGCGUGUAGGUGUGUGUUCCAGGUAAAUCCGGUUCACUUUAACACUGAGGCGUGAUGACGAGGCACUACGGUGCUGAAGCAACAAAUGCCCUGCUUCCAGGAAAAGCCUCUAAGCAUCAGGUAACAUCAAAUCGUACCCCAAACCGACACAGGUGGUCAGGUAGAGAAUACCAAGGCGCUUGAGAGAACUCGGGUGAAGGAACUAGGCAAAAUGGUGCCGUAACUUCGGGAGAAGGCACGCUGACACGUAGGUGAAGUGAUUUACUCAUGGAGCUGAAGUCAGUCGAAGAUACCAGCUGGCUGCAACUGUUUAUUAAAAACACAGCACUGUGCAAACACGAAAGUGGACGUAUACGGUGUGACGCCUGCCCGGUGCCGGAAGGUUAAUUGAUGGGGUCAGCGCAAGCGAAGCUCCUGAUCGAAGCCCCGGUAAACGGCGGCCGUAACUAUAACGGUCCUAAGGUAGCGAAAUUCCUUGUCGGGUAAGUUCCGACCUGCACGAAUGGCGUAAUGAUGGCCAGGCUGUCUCCACCCGAGACUCAGUGAAAUUGAACUCGCUGUGAAGAUGCAGUGUACCCGCGGCAAGACGGAAAGACCCCGUGAACCUUUACUAUAGCUUGACACUGAACAUUGAGCCUUGAUGUGUAGGAUAGGUGGGAGGCUUUGAAGUGUGGACGCCAGUCUGCAUGGAGCCGGCCUUGAAAUACCACCCUUUAAUGUUUGAUGUUCUAACGUGGACCCGUGAUCCGGGUUGCGGACAGUGUCUGGUGGGUAGUUUGACUGGGGCGGUCUCCUCCUAAAGAGUAACGGAGGAGCACGAAGGUUGGCUAAUCCUGGUCGGACAUCAGGAGGUUAGUGCAAUGGCAUAAGCCAGCUUGACUGCGAGCGUGACGGCGCGAGCAGGUGCGAAAGCAGGUCAUAGUGAUCCGGUGGUUCUGAAUGGAAGGGCCAUCGCUCAACGGAUAAAAGGUACUCCGGGGAUAACAGGCUGAUACCGCCCAAGAGUUCAUAUCGACGGCGGUGUUUGGCACCUCGAUGUCGGCUCAUCACAUCCUGGGGCUGAAGUAGGUCCCAAGGGUAUGGCUGUUCGCCAUUUAAAGUGGUACGCGAGCUGGGUUUAGAACGUCGUGAGACAGUUCGGUCCCUAUCUGCCGUGGGCGCUGGAGAACUGAGGGGGGCUGCUCCUAGUACGAGAGGACCGGAGUGGACGCAUCACUGGUGUUCGGGUUGUCAUGCCAAUGGCACUGCCCGGUAGCUAAAUGCGGAAGAGAUAAGUGCUGAAAGCAUCUAAGCACGAAACUUGCCCCGAGAUGAGUUCUCCCUGAGACUUAGAGUCUCCUGAAGGAACGUUGAAGACGACGACGUUGAUAGGCCGGGUGUGUAAGCGCAGCGAUGCGUUGAGCUAACCGGUACUAAUGAACCGUGAGGCUUAACCUU